rnacentral:rRNA from 1 species
GGCCUACGGGUGGCAGCAGUGGGGAAUAUUGCACAAUGGGCGAAAGCCUGAUGCAGCAACGCCGCGUGAGGGACGACGGCCUUCGGGUUGUAAACCUCUUUUAGCAGGGAAGAAGCGAAAGUGACGGUACCUGCAGAAAAAGCACCGGCUAACUACGUGCCAGCAGCCGCGGUAAUACGUAGGGUGCAAGCGUUGUCCGGAAUUAUUGGGCGUAAAGAGCUCGUAGGCGGUUUGUCGCGUCUGCUGUGAAAACGCGAGGCUCAACCUCGCGCCUGCAGUGGGUACGGGCAAACUAGAGUGCGGUAGGGGAGAUUGGAAUUCCUGGUGUAGCGGUGGAAUGCGCAGAUAUCAGGAGGAACACCGAUGGCGAAGGCAGAUCUCUGGGCCGUAACUGACGCUGAGGAGCGAAAGCAUGGGGAGCGAACAGGAUUAGAUACCCUUGUAGUCAAC